rnacentral:rRNA from 1 species
UACGGAGGGAGCUAGCGUUAUUCGGAAUUAUUGGGCGUAAAGGGCGCGCAGGCGGCGCUUCAAGUCCGUUGUGAAAUUUCAGGGCUUAACCCUGACGGGUCAACGGAAACUGAAGGGCUAGAGUGCAGCAGAGGAAAGCGGAAUUCCCGGUGUAGUGGUGAAAUGCGUAGAUAUCGGGAGGAACACCAGUGGCGAAGGCGGCUCGCUGGACCGGUCCUGACGCUCAGGCGCGAAAGCGUGGGGAGCGAUCCGG